rnacentral:rRNA from 1 species
UGGGGAAUAUUGUGCAAUGGGGGAAACCCUGACACAGCGACGCCGCGUGAGUGAAGAAGGUCUUCGGAUCGUAAAACUCUGUCAUCGGGGACGAAGAUGACGGUACCCGAAGAACAAGCCACGGCUAACUACGUGCCAGCAGCCGCGGUAAUACGUAGGGGGCGAGCGUUGUCCGGAAUUACUGGGCGUAAAGGGCGUGUAGGCGGCCUGUUAAGUCAGGGGUGAAAGACCGGGGCUCAACCCCGGGGGUGCCUCUGAAACUGGCGGGCUUGAGUGCUCUAGAGGGCAGUGGAAUUCCCGGUGUAACAGUGAAAUGCGUAGAGAUCGGGAGGAACACCAGUGGCGAAGGCGGCUGCCUGGGGAGUCACUGACGCUGAGGCGCGAAAGCUAGGGGAGCAAACAGG